UACGGGGGGGCAAGCGUUGUUCGGAAUUACUGGGCGUAAAGGGCUCGUAGGCGGCCAACUCAGUCGGAUGUGAAAUCCCCAGGCUUAACCUGGGAACUGCAUCCGAUACUGGAUGGCUUGAAUCCGGGAGAGGGAUGCAGAAUUCCAGGUGUAGCGGUGAAAUGCGUAGAUAUCUGGAGGAAUACCGGUGGCGAAGGCGGCAUCCUGGACCGGCAUUGACGCUGAGUGAGCGAAAGCCAGGGGAGCAAACGGG
rnacentral:rRNA from 1 species